GUCCUCCCCCCUCAUUAUCUUUAUGGCCCCCACCCACCGCUCAAGGGUGGGGGCCGGGGGGAGGACAGUAGGUCCCUCCCUCCCAUUGUAAUUUAUGGCCCCCACCCACCGCGCAGGGGUGGGGGCCAGGAGGGGAGGACAGU